rnacentral:rRNA from 1 species
CAGCCGCCGCGGGAAAACGGAGGGUGCAAGCGUUAAUCGGAAUUACUGGGCGUAAAGCGCACGCAGGCGGUUUGUUAAGUCAGAUGUGAAAUCCCCGAGCUUAACUUGGGAACUGCAUUUGAAACUGGCAAGCUAGAGUCUUGUAGAGGGGGGCAGAAUUCCAGGUGUAGCGGUGAAAUGCGUAGAGAUCUGGAGGAAUACCGGUGGCGAAGGCGGCCCCCUGGACAAAGACUGACGCUCAGGUGCGAAAGCGUGGGGAGCAAACAGGAUUAGAUACCCGCGUAGUCCCUGUCUCUUAUAC